rnacentral:lncRNA from 1 species
AUUUUCGGUACUGGUGCCAUCACAACUGCUGAUCGUUUCUGCAGGAUUCCAGAAAAUAAUGUAUCCAUGAUACAGAGUGUAUACAAGUUUUGCGAUUACGCCUUCUGCGUAACAGUCAGUCCCACCGCAGUUUAACCCACAAGGAAUUUUCUCUUGUCCUAAACUAUUAUGGCCUUCUUUGUCCGAUUGAACGGAGGUAACGAAGUCUCGUCUUCCGCCAGUCGUCCGGGCGAAGCCAGUCUGGAGCCGCUCCGGAGCGCGCGUUGUGAUUGGCUCUUACAUUACUUUUCUACCUAAUUCGUAUCCUUGGGGUGACAGAUUUUCCCCACUACAAGGAAGACUGGGAAG